CGGCUGCCGGAGCGGCGGCUGCGGCUGCUGGUCGCCUGCGGCGCCGCCGGCGGGAUCUCGGCGACGUUCAACGCGCCGAUCGCCGGC
rnacentral:tRNA from 1 species